GACGAACGCUGGCGGCGCGCUUAACACAUGCAAGUCGAACGGAAAGGCCUGCUUUCCCUUGUGGAUUGCGGGUACUCGAGUGGCGAACGGGUGAGUAACACGUGAGUGAUCUGCCCCCAACUUGGGGAUAAGCCUGGGAAACUGGGUCUAAUUCCCGAUAGGACUGCAGGGUGGUGCCUGUGGUGGAAAACGAUUUUCUAGUGGUUGGGGAUGAGCUCGCGGCCUAUCAGCUUGUUGGUGGGGUAAUGGCCUACCAAGGCGGCGACGGGUAGCCGGCCUGAGAGGGUGGACGGCCGCAUUGGGACUGGGUUACGGCCCAGACUCCUACGGGAGGCAGCAGUGGGGAAGAUUGCACAAUGGGCGGAAGCCUGAUGCAGCGACGCCGCGUGGGGGAUGACGGCCUUCGGGUUGUAAACUCCUUUCGACCGCGAGGAAGCCACCUGGUUGGAAGGGUGGUGACGGUAGUGGUAGAAGAAGCACCGGCUAACUACGUG
rnacentral:rRNA from 1 species